rnacentral:rRNA from 1 species
AACGAACGCUGGCGGCAGGCCUAACACAUGCAAGUCGAGCGCUGUAGCAAUACAGAGCGGCAGACGGGUGAGUAACGCGUGGGAAUCUACCUAGUGGUACGGAAUAGCCCAGGGAAACUUGGGGUAAUACCGUAUAAGCCCGAAAGGGGAAAGAUUUAUCGCCACUAGAUGAGCCCGCGUUGGAUUAGCUAGUUGGUGGGGUAACGGCCCACCAAGGCGACGAUCCAUAGCUGGUCUGAGAGGAUGAUCAGCCACACUGGGACUGAGACACGGCCCAGACUCCUACGGGAGGCAGCAGUGGGGAAUAUUGGACAAUGGGCGCAAGCCUGAUCCAGCCAUGCCGCGUGAGUGACGAAGGUCUUCGGAUUGUAAAGCUCUUUUGGCGGGGACGAUAAUGACGGUACCCGCAGAAUAAGCCCCGGCUAACUUCGUGCCAGCAGCCGCAGUAAAAC